rnacentral:lncRNA from 1 species
AUUAGUAGAAAAAAAACUUGUGCGCUAAAUAUAACCUGUAUACGUAGUUAAGCUUAAUGCAAAUUUGACUUGUCAAGCCAUGGAAUAAAUGAGUCAUUGAAAGUUAGGUCCAUCCACUCCCUUUCCUGAGAUUUAUCCAUCUACGUAGAUACUUUGAAUAAAAACAAACAAACUGAAGAUGGGGCUCAAAAAGUUGGAUUGCAGUCACUCAUAACUCUUUUGGAUGUUCAUGACAUAUGCAUGUUGUAAUAAAUAAAUCUCCAUAACUUUUCUUUCUAAAUAGAUUAUAGGCAUAAAUAAUGGUACAAAAAUGUAAAUUUCAGUGAGAAGCAAUUUUUAUCAGGAGAUCUGAUCUUUAUGUAUUAGCCUUGAAUUUAGGGAAUAUUAAUAAGUCAGCGUUGCUUAAGGGUUAUUUGAGUAAAUAUAGUUGCUCGUUGGGUUCCCUCACUCCAAUAAAAAUCUCUUAUGUGUUAUUACAAUAAAUUAGACAAAGCUUUAUUGACCUUUUCAAAAAAGUUUAAUAGAAUAUAAAAUGAAUCUAUGCAUACAAAUGUAUCAAUCAUAUAAGUUGCUAGAUAUUAUUAUGUCAAAGUCAAAUAUAAUUUGAUGUGCAUUUAUCUAUUUAUGAGUAAUAAACAACCUACUAUGUA